rfam:Syphacia muris strain Valencia genome assembly, scaffold: SMTV_scaffold0000347
GGUCCCGUGGUGUAGGGGUUAGCACUCAGGACUCUGAAUCCUGCGACGGGAGUUCAUUUAGCACUGAGGACUUUGAAUCCUGCGACGGGAGUUCAAAUCUCCCCGAGACCU